rnacentral:lncRNA from 1 species
AAGAAGUAUUUUCAUAAGAAAUUAGCGAGCACAUACACAUACAUACAGUGCAGACAGUUGAAGUUGAAGAACAACACAUGAUAUAGAAAAAGCUAAAUUUAUUCAUUAUUCAUAGUAGAAAAAACCAUGUGGAGCUCUACUUAUUUAUUACAAUGUCGGACACGUUAAUUCGAAGCUCACUGUGAGCUCUCUCACAUGUAUCUUACUAGAAAUUUAUUCAGUAGAGACUGCCCAAAAUUGAAGAUAAUGAACCCUUUCUUCCCUUAUGCCCUUCCUCCCUCUGCUGUUGCUCAGGCUGUGCAUCCACAAAGUGGGAUUCACUCUGCUUCUUUAUCAACUUCUCAACCUUGUUACCAGACGCAGGGAAGCUAACAUCCAAAACCUCUGUAGGUAUCUCGCUCAUCACAUUGUCUUUCUCACCUUCAAAUUUUCAAUCACGUUUUAUCAAUUGUAAAUAAACAACCCCAUCACCCAAACAAGUUUCAUGUGCCAUAAAACAAACAAGACCACUAUAUUCAAAUCGAGGGAGAUACAUAAUAUAUAUACCUGCAAGGAAAUUCCUCUGGUUGUUCUCAGCAUUGAUACCGAAAGCAAAGAAAUUUAGAUUGGAGGUUGCGUUGAUGGCAACUGGAUAAGCUGCUGGGAUUACAAAUACAUCGUCUUCAGACAACUCAGCUCUAUAUCUCUGCACUUCCAAGCUUUCGUCUUGCUGCUGCUGAUCGCUUGGGCCAACAAGUUCAAUCUUUGCUUCUCCUUCAUUAAUCACCAGUAUCACUAUGGCCUUAGAGUUGUAGUGUGGCAAAAGAAGGCCUCCCUGAAUUUUUUUAAGAAAGAAACCAUUAUUAAUUAGGGUUUCAGUACUAAGAUUUCCUAAUUAGGACGACAGUGAAUAGUAGAACUCAAUUGCUGAGUUUGUCCAUGUGGUUUUCCUUUGUAUUACCUCUUUCAUAUCCACAGAACUGAUGAACACGUCCAAGUCCUUAAGUUGGGGGUUUUUCUCCGGGGUGAUCUCAUACCACCUUCCAAAUUUGUUGGAGUAGAUGGGAUUGCUGUUUCUCAGGUUGAAUGGUUCAUCUUGGGAGGAGAGUUCUUUCCUUGAACUAGAUUUGGCAUGUUUGAUCAAUUCCCGAAUCUGUUCCCUUUUAAGUUCUACAAUCACUCCCUCUUCCUGACUCUCUUCCCCAUGCUGCUGUUGUCUCUCUUCUCCAAAUAGAACCCUGUCUAUCUCCUUGAAGUCGCUCUAUAAAAAUCAUGCAAAUAUAGAUAAUGAUAUCAUUCAACAAAUGUGAAAUUUAGACAAAUUACUAGCUAAAUGGCAAGGCAAAUAUGCGGUUAAUUAGAUGUUGUGUUCUUCUUACAUCGAAGGAGGCCUCUAGAAUAUUCUUGCUGAAGCCUCUCAAGUAGGAUUGCUGGGCUUCUGUGCUAGAUAGGAAAAAGUUCUACANGANAAGAAUUUUUAACGUCAAAUUUAGAGAGAAAUUGAAAGUUAGAAUAAAAANNAGUUAGUUGGGAAUCAGAAAAAGGCGGUAC